UGUCUAUUAAUUGUAGACCAGUAUGAAAGGCAAAAUGAGGGUCUAUCUGUCUCUUAUAAUGAAUCAAUUAAACUGAUCUCCUAGUAAAAAAGCUAGAAUUCUAUCAUAAGACCAGAAGACCCUGUGAAGCUUAAACUAAAAUAUUAAACCACUUAAUAUAUACUUUUGGUUGGGGCGGCCUUGGAAAAAAAAAGAACUUCCAAACACAUGACUAUACUCAUACCAAACAUAGGCCCACAAGCCUUUUAUUAUGACCCAGUAUAACUGAUAACUGAACAAAGUUACUCCAGGGAUAACAGCGCCAUCUUCUUCAAGAGUCCAUAUCAAAAAGAAGGUUUACGACCUCGAUGUUGGAUCAGGACAUCCUAAUGGUGCA
rnacentral:rRNA from 1 species